UGAAUGAAACAAGACAUCAAGCAUAAAUUCUAUAUGAUUCUAUUUACAUGGAAUUUAAGAACAGGCAAAACUAAUAGGUUAGCUUUCAGGGGCAAGUAUUGACUGGGAAGGGCACAUGGAGCCUUCUGGUAUACUGCAAAUAUUUUCCAUCUCAAUCUGGGCAGUAGUUAAAUGGUUAUAUGUCUAUGUAAAAAUUCAUCAAGCUGUAUACAUAAGAGUCUUAAGAUUUGUGCACUUUAUUAUUUGUAGACUAUAUCUACUAGAAGAGAAAAAAAAAAGUCUUGAGAAGAGACAUAAGCAUUUUGGGGUCAGCCUCACCUUUCCAUCUGCCUUUUCCAACAAAGGGAUGGAGACGGAGGCCAAAUGAGCACCAUCCAAGUCAGCUCCUUCUGAAACAGAGACAAAAAUAACUACAUCUCAAGUAUAAGAACAUACUUUCCCCUUUUUUUUUUUGGGAAAGGCACAGGCUUUUUUCACAUUACCAGCCAGAGGGAAUCUUUCUCAAACUUUCCAUAGAGAUUCUCCCUUGAGCAGGCACCAAACAUGGACAUUUUCUACCAGAGAAAAACAUGCUGGGGAGUUAUAAGCCUCUGGAACGAAAGCGUUGGGAAGGAAAUGAUGUAGAUCCCCCUCCCUCACCUGGGCUCCUCCCAGUCCUCCUGGAGCCAUGUUCCAGUGGCUAUAUGUUGUCAUCAGGAGAGUGCUAAUCAGAGGGACUGCAAGGAUGGAAGACAAGGGCAGGAGAGUGGACUGGGUCAGACAGUUGCCAGGGUCCAGUCCACACUGAGCACUGGGCCUUUCCCAUCUGGUGGGAAGAAAGGUUUUGAUUCUUCAUCCCUCAUACAAAUGGAAGGAAGUCACAGACAGCUUAAAAAAAAAAAAAGGUGUUUAAAGCAAUGUAUACAUUGUGGACAGUGAACGAAGCAUCUCAAUUCUGUGUGGGUCUGUCCAUAUAAAGAUGAAGGAGCCUCAUUUUCCAGCUGCACUGCCUCCCUCCUCUCUCCUAGCUCCUCUUUCCUCCUGUCAUCUCUUUGUCCAGCUUCUUCAUUUUCCUUCUCAUCAUCUGAAAGCCUUGAGAACAAAUUUUUAGGAAGUACCUGUGUAGGGCAGGGUACUUGACAACUUUACCAGGAAGGUGUUAUUUUUCAGGUGAGGACACCAGCUUUAGGGGAGUGAAGUGAUUAGCUUGAGGUCAUGCACCUAAGAGAUGUCAGAGCCAGAGUUUGCAUCUAGGCUGGUGAGACUCUGUGUGGGCUCUGUCAUGGGGUUCAGUUGCCUUAAGUCUCCUUUUCUUGAGAAAGACAUUGCUGGAUUGUUAUAUCCUAUCCUGUCUCUCAAGAUAAGCAACAUUUUAGUAAAAGAUAUUAUUUUAUUUUAUUUGCUUUUUAGGGCCGUACCCAAGGCAUAUGGAAGUUCCCGGGCUAGGGGUCAAAUCGGAGCUACAGCUGCUGGCCUAUGCCACAGCCACAGCAACUGUGGGAUCCAAGGCGCAUCUGCAACCUACGCCACAGCUCAUGGCAAUGCCGGAUCCCUGACCCACUGAGUGAGGCCAGGGAUCAAACUUGCACCUCAUGGAUUCUAUUUGGAUUCGUUUCCACUACGCCACAAAGGGAACACCCUGAAAUACUUUUAAAAAUGAAAAUUAAUACAAAAUCUGUGAUGAAAAAUGUAAAUCUUUUGAAUAAAGACAGGAUCAGUGUUAGCAGUUUUUCAUUUUGCUUGGGCUCUAAUGUGACACCAUGUUGACUUAUUCCUCGGGUCCUUAUUUGGGCCCAUUGCUCUCCUUUGCCCAUGUUCUUGUCCCUUGCUCCUUCCGAUGGAUAAUAUUGUAUGCCCCCACCUUUCAUCUCAGUGUGAGUAACUCCAAAUUCUACUUUCUCCCAGGGCUCAAGGAGGAGAAGCCUUUUGUUUCUUCAAGCUUCUGUUCACUUCAGGAGUUUGGGGUACAUGUCUUGUGUUUCCACUGACCUUUUGGAAAGCUCCGCCUGAACUCUGGUGACCUAAAGUCAACUUUUCCUCAACUAAGCUCACCCUUCCUCCCAUCCUGUCCUCAGGUCUGCUCCUGUCAAUGUCAGCAGCAGCCUUCUAGUCACCCGGCUCUCCCCUCAUUCCUAUUUCCAACAGCCAAUCUGCUGCCCACCCUUGUUUAUUAUCAAGUACCUCCUACAACUGCCCUUUCUUAUCCAAAAGCCCAGACAGACUAUGCCUGAACUGGCACUUGCUUGGGGUGGGAAGGCACAGAAGCAAGAACUUAAGCAUAAUCAUUUGUCUGAGGACCAGAGCUGUAGUGAGGGGCGUAGAAAGGGAUGGGCUUACUUAGAUCUGUGCAGACAGGGCAAGCAGAGGUUGGAGAAAGAACUAAGCACCACGUUGUUGAAAUAUCUUCUCAAUCUUUGAUUCCGUAAGGGAACAUAUAGGAUGUUCCAUGCUAUCUUCACUUGCUACAUGCUAGGGAGACAAAGAUUGAAAAUCAUUUCAGUUCUUGAGAAGCUCACAAUCUGGUGGGAAAGACAGACCCACAAAUAAACCCCACAGGAGCAUGCAGUUUGGGGUAACUGAGGAGGAAGUCACCAACUGAAGAUGAAAAGAUGGGCUAGGAAAGUUGCCCAGAGGAAAAGAUACUGAGCUGAACUUCAGUGUUGAAUGAAGGAGAUGAUUGAUGUCACUGGUGAUGAUGUUAGUCAUUAUGAAGAAGAUAGUGAAAAUCACCAAGGUGAUAAUUAUGCACAGGGAGACUCCAUCAAAAAGAUGGAGGUGAUAGGGCUGAGGAACGCAAACCACCUUGGUACCUCUGAUGUAAUGGAUUGGGCAGUGAUCCCAAACCAGUCCAGGAGGCCACACUGUGACUUCAGGUGUCUUUUCAUAGUCAUGGCUUAUGAUUCAAGAUAUAGUGUACCAGGAGUUCCCCUUGUGGCUCAGCAGUAAUGAACCCGACUAGUAUCCAUGAGGACAUGGGUUCAAUCCCUGGCCCUGCUCAGUGUGUUAAGGAUCCAGCAUUGCUGUGAGCUGUGGUGUAGGGUCGAAGAUUCGGCUGGGAUCUGUUGUUGCUGUGGCUGUGGCAGGCACAUCUGCUCUGUGUCCAGAGAGCUUGUGGAAGAUUAAAAAAGGAGCUGUACUUCCUAUGCCCUUCCAGUUCUAGAAUCACUGACCUUGGUAACUGGUAACUCUAGAGGGGCUUUCUCUCUCCCAAUUGGUCUGUCACAUGCUUGAAGUCUCCCGAUUAACACAUCAUUUCCUUAGCUUGUCUUGCAUCUCCAGAUGCAAGAGUUGGAAGGAUAUAUUAAGGCAUUAUUACUCCCAAACACCCCAGCAUAAGAGUUUAACAGCUUAUUGUCUCCUGGGUCACUGUAUUUUAAUACAAUGAAGGAAAACCAGCUUAAGAGUCUGGACCAUUUCUCAAUGAACAGGAUUGGGUGAGGAUGUGUUACAGAAGGGUUGGUAGCUUUGGGACCCCCAAAGCUUGAGGAUGAAGUCUGCAGGUGAUGGGAUCUGAGGAAGCCACUCUAGGACUCCCUGUUGCUAAUUAGAGUUGACCCUGGGAUAUAACUUCCUGAAGUAUUGAUCCAAAAUUACCCUCCUAGAACUUUGGUUGUUAUUACACCAUUGCCUGGGCCUCUUGCCUUCCACUACCACCUCCUCACCCGCUACCAGUUCCUCCCUGGGUACCUUGCUAAUAAGCUGUGUCCACAAGGGUUCUUAUCUCAGGAAAGUCUCAUCAUAAGGCAAUGGCUCUAACUCAUUCUCCUUUUUCUGGCUUCCUUCAGUCCAAAUCAUUUGGGUACCUGGCCCAUACUGUUUGGGCCAUGUCUAUGAGCCUUGCCUUCCUGGUUUUAGUGUAAGUUCUCUUGUCUCCCCUGGUUUGCCUGGCAGGCACUGGGACAUCCCUAGCACCACCCUUUGUCAGAGGUGGAAGGUCCAGGGGGUCUUUGAGACCAAAAGAGGAAACAGAGGCCCAGAAAAGCUAAAGGGCUUGUUGACUAAAUGAUACUUUCUCUUCUUCUCCCAACUGAGAUGUACAGGGAGACAUUUUGUCCCCAUGAUGAUCUGUUCUUGGUUUAUUGAGAUGAUGAUGAUGAUGAUGAUGGCUCUUGCUAUGUGGUUUCUUGAGGAGUCCCAGGCCUUUGGCGUGUGUAAUUAGGAAACUUCCCGAAGCCUUUCUAAGAGAGAGACCCUAUGUCCUGCAUUUCAGGCAAACUGCCUUCGGCUUAGAGAUAUAGAGUAGUGGGGAAGUCGAAGGGUAGCAAAGUGAAGGAGAAUCACAGAAGGGUUUGGAGUGGGGUUCAGUGGACACUUGAGCACUUUAUCCCAGCCUUGGGUUGAGGAGGGGGCAGAGAAUGCCUUAAUGAUCAACUAAAGCCUUAGUUGAACGUUGAAGGCAAACAGGAGUUUCCAAGGUAGGGAGAUAGGCAAUUCCCUUCACAUUCAGUGUACAACCAACAUCUGAUGUAAAGAUGAUACUUUUUUAUUUGGAAAGACAUUUUUUUCAUAGAGGUAUAGGAACAGAGUUUGGAGUCAAAUGGGAUUUAAAUCUUGGCUCCAUCACUUUCUUUGCGACUCUGAGCAAGUCCAUUAUACUUUCCAAACCUCAAUACCGUCAUCUGUAAGUUAUGACAAUGAGUCCCACUUCACUGGAUGAUCAUCAAACUCAAAUGAGGCAAAUUAAUUCUUGAUGUGUAUGUGCAGAACCCUUGAGAAAUGGUUGUUGUGGUGUUCACAUAGAGAACUUUUAACUUUCAUCAUUACCAUAUGAAUAUUGAUUAUUCUCUCACUGUGUUCAAGUGUUGAAUGAACCUCAUCUUGUCUUGUGCAUCCUCAUUUAAGAGGACAGGAGAUAACACUGUCCAGAACUAGAAACUCUGAGAGGGUAAGGGACCUGCCCAUUCCUAUCUUAGGUUGAGUUCUCCAAGAAGCAGGCAUUCAGGUGAAGAUAGGAGUGUAAGCACUUUACUUGGGUGGUGAUCCCAGCAAACACUGGCUGGAGAGCAGGAAGUAAGGCAGGCAAGGGAAGUCAGUCCGUGGAGGAUGUGUGUUCAAUCCAUUUACCACCGUAGGCAGCUGGAGCUCUCUCCCACCAGGAGUGCAGUGUAAAGUAAACAUCUCAGGAUAGAAAGCCCAGAAUUAAACCCACACACCUACAGUCAACUAAUUUAUGACAAAGGAGGCAAGAAUAUACAAAGGAGAAAAGACAGCUCCUUCAAUAAGUGGUUAUGGGAAAAGUGGACAGCCACAUGUAAAAGAAUGAAAUUAAACACCUCAUAACACCAUGCACAAAAAUAAACUCAAAAUGGAAUAAGGACCUAAAUAUAAGACCAAAUACUAUAAAACUCUUAGAGGAAAACAUAGGCCAAACAAUCUCCGACAUAAACCACAGCAAUAUCUUCUCAGAUCCACUUCCUAGAGUAAUGACAAUAAAAGCAAAAAUAAACAAAUGGACUUAAUUAAACUUAAAAGUUUCUGCAUAGCAAAGGAAACCCUAAUCAUAACGAAAAGACAACCCACAGAAUGGGAGAAAAUAUUUGCAAAUGAAGCAACUGACAAGGGACUAAUCUCCAAAAUUUAUAAACACAUCCUGCAGCACAAUACCAAAAAACAAACAAACAAACAAACAACCCCAUCAAAAAAGUGGGCAAAAGACAAUUCUCUAAGGAAAACAUACAGAUGG
rnacentral:lncRNA from 1 species